GAGUUUGAUCGUGGCUCAGGACGAACGCUGGCGGCGUGCUUAACACAUGCAAGUCGAACGAGAAUCUACUGAAAGAGUUUUCGGACAAUGGAAGUAGAGGAAAGUGGCGGACGGGUGAGUAACGCGUGAGGAACCUGCCUUGAAGAGGGGGACAACAGUUGGAAACGACUGCUAAUACCGCAUGAUGCAUAAGGGUCGCAUGAUUCUUAUGCCAAAGAUUUAUCGCUUCAAGAUGGCCUCGCGUCUGAUUAGCUAGUUGGCGGGGUAACGGCCCACCAAGGCGACGAUCAGUAGCCGGACUGAGAGGUUGAACGGCCACAUUGGGACUGAGAUACGGCCCAGACUCCUACGGGAGGCAGCAGUGGGGAAUAUUGGGCAAUGGGCGCAAGCCUGACCCAGCAACGCCGCGUGAAGGAAGAAGGCUUUCGGUAUGUAAACUUCUAUCAGCAGGGAAGAAAAUGACGGUACCUGACUAAGAAGCCCGGCUAACUACGUGCCAGCCGCCG
rnacentral:rRNA from 1 species